GGGAGCUGAUGGACUUCGUCAUAAAGGAAGAGGCAAUCCAGCACAUGCCGCUGACUUCACCUUCGUCUGAUGAGGUUGUAAUAUUCUUUUUUUUUUUUUUUAGUUUCUUGACUCCUUGAAUAGAAUUUGGUGGACAGACUGAGAGAAAGCCCAACACUGAAGAAAUUAAAACUUGUCCUCAAGGCCUGAAGGAUUAUACACCACAUGAACAGGGAAAGGAAGAGGCUUUGCUAUCUCUAAACCCACUAUAUGAAGAUUUGACUCAUGAUACCUUAAUGCACUGCCUUGAGGGGGAAAGGCUGCAGGGAUUGUCUACAAAAAUGGAACAAAACUCUUGUGACACUGUUUUUCCCUGCUGUCCUGCUGUAACCUCUGGUGAGUCUUUUUUCACAUUGCUUAAAAAUUCCAUCUUCUGAUAUGGGAACUAAGAUGUUUUGAAAAUGUGAAGUACAAAAGAGAAGAAGAGGAUAUGAAGACCAGCUUUUAGUAGGGGAAAAAUAUACAAACACCCUAUUAUGGGGAUGGAUGGAACACGUGAAACCAUCAUCCAUCACCAUCAAGAAAGAGAUCAUGUGGAGUUGGCUGACAACUUACUGGAAAAAAUCAGGUGGGGG
rnacentral:lncRNA from 11 species